AUUCACUAGACUGUUCAGACAAGGGAUUGUUUAUGUCAUGGGGAACAGGCUUUUUCUUCCUGUUAAUGCUGUUCCUCUACUGAACAGAAGCUGAGGUGCCCAUCCCGGGAGACUCUCCUGGGACACAAAUGUUGAUCACCUCCCUUUCAAAAGCCAGAGGUCUCAGCCACUGAGAUUUGUCAGUGUCAGAACAAUGGGAAAGUGCUGUGCUUUAUUUCCAAAUGUGUUAGCUGUGGAGACCUGGGUCAGGAUGGAGAGAAGAACCAGCCCAUCAAGUUGGUAGCAGAAGACUUGAGAUGUCCACUUUCUUCCUAGGCUUUGGCCGCAUGAACUUGUUAGAAGGCAGUUCCAGCGUCACCUUUAGCAUGUGGAGAUUCAGGACGGGAGGGACCUUCUCAGGACGUUCUUGCUUGGAGAUGAUGCCUGUGGACAGGGAUCAGGAAAACAAGAUGACUCAGAUCUGACACUGUGACUGAGUGAUGAAAACAAAGGGUAUAGUGCAUUCUUUGUAUUCCAUGCUCUGUCAGUCAGGUUGUGAGAGACCCACCUACACAGACACUCCCCAACAGUUGUGUGUCCAAAUUUGUCAACAAAUGUCCAAAUUCUCCAUUUCCUAAACAGCUCUCAUCUGUCCCUCAACCACUUCCAACCUAUUCUAUUACUGAUUUAACCAUAGUAUGCCACACCCGACUGCCUCCAAGUGUGGUCUAAAUGCCUCAAAUCUAACAACACCCCACUACUCUAUACAGAUCAAAUCCCAGCAACUACAUGGUGGCUCACAACCAUCUAAAAUGAGAUCUGACGACUUCUGAAAUUUCUUAAGACAUCUACAGGAUAUUUACAUACAAUAAAUAAAUAAAUAAAUCUUUUAAAAAAGAAAACUUAAA